UGGGUUGGAUGGGGUAUGGGAUCUAGGUCUUGGGCUAGGGAAGGAGUUGGACUUGUAGGAAGUAGCUAGCGUCUUCUAGGGCGUAGUGAGCCUCUAGGCUUGGCGGCAACAAGGUUGGCCGGGUUGUAGCCUUGGGGGGUUGAGCUCGCAUGUUGGCGUGCUUGCCGGCGUACAAGGUGCAACUGCCUUAUCCCAGAUCAGUCAAUUCCAAUUGCCUUGAAUAUCACGAGUUGCAUAUUAUAUUUAAUAAAAGUUUACUUUUUUUUCCAAGGAUGAUUACAUAGUCUGAGCCAUUUUGUAAAAAAUGGAACCAUGGUGGUAUGGUAAAAAGAAUAAUUCACUUGGAAUUUUUUUUUUCGUAACAGAGUUUGAACAGGUCUAAUUGCGCCAGGAAGUACAAAUUGAGUGCGCAGUUUGGCACCUCGAUGUCGGCUUAACUUAUCCACAUGAACGCAGGAAUCAUGAAGGGUUCGACUGUUCGUACGAUUAAUAAGUUACACGAGCUGGGUUAAAUACGUCGUAAGACAGUAUGGUUUCUAUCUUCUAGAGAAAAUUAGAAUAAAAUAAAGAUAUAUCCCUCGUACGAAAGGAGCUGGAGAUAUUAACCUAUGGUUUACCUGUUGUUUAUGUGCCCAAUAUUAAUUAUAGCCGUAAAAAGAUGCGGCUACAACUCUUCGAAGACCGUACUAGUCCGAUGUUUCGGACGCAGUAAAGGGGCGAACGGGAUGCUACCGUAACACUUUAGUAGAUAUAUAACAUAGGCACGGCAGGAACGCUAUGUUAGUUAAAAUAAGUGCUGAAAGCAUAUAGGCACGAAGUUUACUUUAAGUAUAUUCUUAAAUAUACGUAAGAUAAUACUACGAAAAAUUUUUAGUAGAAAAGUAAUCAUCCUUGGAUAUUAUUAAUCUCAAAAUAGAUAGGCUUUAGCUCUUAGAACUUAAAUGUUUUUAGGUAUAAAGUACUAAAUUUAUAUUUAACUAAAUUAU
rnacentral:ncRNA from 1 species